ACAGUGUCUGGUGGGUAGUUUGACUGGGGCGGUCUCCUCCUAAAGAGUAACGGAGGAGCACGAAGGUUGGCUAAUCCUGGUCGGACAUCAGGAGGUUAGUGCAAUGGCAUAAGCCAGCUUGACUGCGAGCGUGACGGCGCGAGCAGGUGCGAAAGCAGGUCAUAGUGAUCCGGUGGUUCUGAAUGGAAGGGCCAUCGCUCAACGGAUAAAAGGUACUCCGGGGAUAACAGGCUGAUACCGCCCAAGAGUUCAUAUCGACGGCGGUGUUUGGCACCUCGAUGUCGGCUCAUCACAUCCUGGGGCUGAAGUAGGUCCCAAGGGUAUGGCUGUUCGCCAUUUAAAGUGGUACGCGAGCUGGGUUUAGAACGUCGUGAGACAGUUCGGUCCCUAUCUGCCGUGGGCGCUGGAGAAUUGAGGGGGGCUGCUCCUAGUACGAGAGGACCGGAGUGGACGCAUCACUGGUGUUCGGGUUGUCAUGCCAAUGGCACUGCCCGGUAGCUAAAUGCGGAAGAGAUAAGUGCUGAAAGCAUCUAAGCACGA
rnacentral:rRNA from 1 species